rnacentral:rRNA from 1 species
AGGCAGCAGUGGGGAAUAUUGCACGAAUGGGCGCAAGCCUGGAUGCAGCCAUGCCGCGUGUAUGAAGAAGGCCUUCGGGUUGUAAAGUACUUUCAGCAGUGAGGAAGGUGGAGUCGUUAAUAGCGGCCUCGUUUGACGUUAGCUGCAGAAGAAGCACCGGCUAACUCCGUGCCAGCAGCCGCGGUAAUACGGAGGGUGCGAGCGUUAAUCGGAAUUACUGGGCGUAAAGCGCAUGCAGGUGGUUUGUUAAGUCAGAUGUGAAAGCCCGGGGCGUCAACCUCGGAAUUGCAUUUGAAACUGGCUGACUAGAGUACUGUAGAGGGGGUAGAAUUUCAGGUGUAGCGGUGAAAUGCGUAGAGAUCUGAAGGAAUACCGGUGGCGAAGGCGGCCCCCUCGGACAGAUACUGACACUCAGAUGCGAAAGCGUGGGGAGCAAACAGGAUUAGAUACCCUGGUAG